GGUUGAUCCUGCCAGUAGUGAUAUGCUUGUUUCAAAGAUUAAGCCAUGCAUGUCUAAGUAUAAGCGAACUUAUACAGUGAAACUGCGGAUGGCUCAUUAAAACAGUUUGAAUUUAUUUGAUGAAUGUAUGAGAAUACUACUUGGAUAACCGUAGUAAUUCUAGAGCUAAUACAUGCAACGACGCCCGACCGUUUCACUACGGAAGGGCUGUAUUUAUUGGAUACCAAAACCAUCCUUCCCUCGGGAAGUUUUGUUUGAUGAUUCACAAUAACUGAUCGGAUCGCCACUGUGGUGGCGACAGGUCAUUCAACAUUCUGCCCUAUCAGCUUUCGAUGGUUGUGUAGUGGACAACCAUGGCCAUAACGGGUAACGGAGAAUCAGGGUUCGAUUCCGGAGAAGGAGCUUGAGAAUUGGCUACUACAUCUAAGGAAGGCAGCAGGCGCGCAAUUACCCAAUCCCGAUUCGGGGAGGUAGUGACAAAAAAUAACAAUACCGGGCCUUUUUGGGCUUGGUAAUUGGAAUGAGGGAGAGUUAAACGGACCAUCGAGUAUCCAUUGGAGGGCAAGUCUGGUGCCAGCAGCUGCGGUAAUACCAGCUCCAAUAGCGUAUAUUAAAGUUGUUGCAGUUAAAAAGCUCGUAGUUGGACUUGUGUGCGCUGUCCGCGGGUGGCCUGCGCCCAAAAGGGCGUUUCGGUUCGGCCCCGGUGGCGCCUUGAAAUCUGCAGCUGGGGGGACGUUGGCCUUAACUGGUCGGCGACCGCACGCCGGCUGCUCGGUUACUGUGAGAAAAUUAGAGUGUUCAGGGCAGGCAUUGGGUGCAAUUGAAUACAUUAGCAUGGAAUAAUAAAAUAUGGCUCCUGCCGUAUUUUGUUGGUUUUGACUGGUGGGAGUAAUGAUUGAUAGGGACGGUUGGGGGUGCUAGUAUUGAGCGGCCAGAGGUGAAAUUCAUGGAUUCGCUCAAGACUAACUUAUGCGAAAGCAUUCACCAAGGACGUCCUCUUUAAUCAAGAACGAAAGUUGGGGGAUCGAAGACGAUCAGAUACCGUCGUAGUCUCAACCAUAAACUAUGUCGACUUGGGAUCGGCGGUAGUUUUUUCAUUAAGACACUGUCGGGACCACGGGAGAAAUCAAAGUGUCUGGACUCUGGGGGAAGUAUGGUCGCAAGGCUGAAACUUGAAGGAAUUGACGGAAGGGCACACCAGGAGUGGAGCCUGC
rnacentral:rRNA from 1 species